AUCUUUUACAUACAUCCAGGAAUGAUGACUCCACCAGUUCCCUGAGCAGCCCAUUCCAGUGCCUGACCCCCUUUUCAGUAAGAGAUGUUCCCUAAUAUCCAGUGUAAACCUCCCCUGGCAUGACUUGAGGCUGUUUCCUCUUCCCCAUCAAGGGACCU